CGGAAUUUUCCCUAAAAUAAAGAAAAAAAGUAGUUGACAAUGCACAGCAAGUUCGCAAUUGAAAAAUUGUUAAACUGGAAAUUUUUCAUUACCAUUUUUCAAUUAUUACAUCCUGGUUUAAAAAUGAGUAAUAGAAUUGUUCAUAAGAAAUAAAUUCGUUAUCUUGGUGUAAUCAGGGGUGUACGGAAUUUUACACCGUUGUUGAAAAUUCAUACACCCAUUCGGC
rnacentral:lncRNA from 1 species